GGUGGGCAUCGCAGUAAACACACGCUGUAAACUUGUGAUCGUACAUGAGACACAAACGUCUAAUUGGGGGCUUUUGAAUAACGUAUGAACUGCAAAAGAAGAAAAAAUAAACUUUAAUCAAAGUGAAUCCAGGCUGAUCGCAGCAGACCCUUGUGCUUAAUAUUCACACAAGAUAGAUGUGGUUUGAGAUGUCACCUUAAGGAGAGACGCUACAGUUUAUCCACACAAAUCUCUAUCAGUGCAAAGUUAUUUUCAAAGGACAGCUCAAACUAAUAUCUCAGACUGCGCCGGCCGACUUUGAGUAACGACGCUGAGCUGUCGAGUAACAUGGAAAUAAAUGUGGAUCAGCAGGCAGAUUAAUGAUAGAAAAUCCCACCCGACAACAAAAUACGCAUUCAUGCAUUAUUCAUGUGCUCCAGUCCACACUGGAAUAUACAACCGCGAUCACUACCAUAUACACUAGUGAUCACUUUCAUUAGAUGUAGCUCUGGUGUCAUAUCUCACCACGGUUUUUCCUUUUGGUUUAAAUCACUCAGCUAAGGUUUCACCGAACACCUCAUGUUUCCUGUAUGUGCCAGAUAGGGAUGUUUGGUUUUGUUUUAUUAUGAUGAUUUUUUUUUUCUUUUUUAAAGUACUGCUCCAAAAUGAGACAAUCCAAGGUUUCAUGAAGGACUAUCGCUGCUUGAGUCUGAACACGCCCGCUUCACCCCCUCUUUGUCCUUGCUCGUUCUGAGAUUGGGGGGGGGGAAAAAACCCGGGUGACCAUUCAUUCUGCUCCUGCACCUGUUUAGUGGCGCGUCUUUCCCGUUUUACGUCUUGAAUUUACAACCUUCAGCUGGAGGGACGACCUUUCACUCGGCCUCUGUGGCAGAGAGGCAGCAGCUGUGGUGACUUCACUGGCUCCUCGUGUAAAGAAAAAAAGAUGCUGAAGGCGGGUGUUGGGGGUUCUCUUCUUACACCUUGAACUUCAUAGCAGCUCGAUAUGACACACACUGCCUCCAUCAGCUGUUAGUAUCUAUCUGAUUGAGCUGAUUUCAAAGAUAUGAAAAAGGCGCAUUCAUUCCUCCCUGUGGUCUCAUUUGUACCCAUUCAUAAGAGUCAAAGAGAGGCAGGAAGAGCUAAGUGAAAUGCCCACAUUUUUUCAUAUGUGUGGUCCCCCUUUUCUUUUCUUUUUUUCUGUGAGAAGGGAAACAUUAGCAACGCUGACUCAUUACAAAGAGCAGCUGAAAAGUCUGAGCCAAUUUAUUUCUGGUUUGGCAGAGAAAGGAUAGUGUAGCACACUUCCACUGAAAUUAGAGCGUCACAGUGUGAGAUGAAGCCUCUGCUUUGUGAAAGGGUGAUUUUUUUUUUUCUUUUUUCUUUUUAGGAAGCGCUCUCUCAGCCCGCUGGCUUUCCUCUGGAGCAGCUGUCGGUCAGCGUCAGUUGGUGAAUCUCGGAAACACAGAUCGCUAAUGAGGCUGGAGCUCUCGAGGACUGCCUGGCCCUGAACUCAGCAUCACACGGUGCUAAGUGACGAGGAUCCCCUGCUGCACCCGGGGAGGCUUAUGCAUCUGAAACGUAAAUAUUAUAUACGUCACGUCGAAUCAGGAGACGGGUGCUCUCGUCUGGCUUUGAGAUCUCGCUGUGCUCGGGGUGGUCCUGCAAACCCAGGAAAGUCCAGGCUUCUGCUGCUGCUGUGAUGGUGGUGUUGCAGACCCCCCAUGCCGGCCAGAUCUUUCUGCAGCUUCUGCACCGACACAUGAUCUGACUAGGAAGGAUGCAAAGGUGGAAGCAGACCGUGCUGGAUUCAGUUUCACAGCAUCUUACUGGAGCAAACACACACAACAUACUGCAAGGUUUUCAGUAGUAUCUACUUCCCCCUUUUUUUUUCUUUUUUUUUGUUUGAGAGGACACGGAUACACCCUGACUGGGCCCCUGUAGUGCUCUACAUUGUGGCUGGGAAGUACCUAGUUUUACAACUGUCAUGCUGGCCUGCUUAAAGGGACAGUGCUGAUCAAUUCGAAGCACAUAUUGAGGGGUCUUUUAGUCACCCUAACAAGGGGGUCACAUGGAUGUUUGAGUCGUCACCUGAUGUGUGAGGAAUGUGCAGUCAGAAGAGCCGUUUUCUGCAUCAAGCACUGCAUAAAAAUACUGAUUGAUAUUUGUUAAAAGAAUGUCUUUAAUAAAAAGUUGAAUUGAAUGGGGUGUGAGAGUUUCCUGCUUUUGAAAAACGAAAGAGAGAAGACUCACAGCUCUACAGGUUCUUUUUAGUCUUAAUGCAUAGUGGAUUUGUUUUGAACUCUUAAUGAAAUCCAACCAUUCUGAGGUGAAAA
ensembl:lncRNA